AAAGACUCUUCUGAAUAUGUCCAGUUCUUAAUUGGAAGGCAGUUUUACUCGCCGCACUGGUUGUUGCGUUGGGCAGCAGCUCAUGGCACUUUGCUGGCAUUUCUCGGCUUUGGAAAAUUUCUUCUCUUGCUGCUCUUAAGCAGUAUCCUUAUUUGUGCCAUUCGCAGGGAAUACCGUGCAACACAAUCUCUUCUCCAUUCCGGUCAAACACACGACUCUCGCAAUAAGCACACCAUCUCCCACCAUAUUCUGCUGUGGGGCACCGUCGCCGUCUACCUUGUUACAAAUGGUCCUAAUCUGCUAGCCUCCGGUAUCGUGCUGGUCCAGAUUUUUGGGCUGCCUAUUACGCCUACGCAUACCAUCUCGGAUAUUUUACCGCUCAUUUGUGAUGUCUCUUUGAUGGCAAAUUAUUCGCUAAACUUCUUCGUAUAUCUGACUGUCAGCAAGGAGUACCGACAACAAGUGCGCCAACUGCUGGCCAUGAGAUGUGAAAAGGUUGUAUCUCAGUGCACCAAAAGAUCAGCCAAGCCCAUUGUCUCGCACUCCACGGCGACAACGGCAGCGGUCGGCGGCGCGCGUUCCGCCCAUGUUCAAGCAAGAACAACCGGCAUGCAUCCGUAAAGGUCACAAUCUAAAACCGUUUCGUUAUUUUAUUCAGCCUCACAGUCACAAUGUCAAUGUACGUUGUACAACAGUGUAUCAUACACACUUAGGAAUAUAUUUAUGCAUACUUCUCGCAAUGACACUGAAACUAUGCGUUAGUCAGAGCUCUUAUUCUACUAUUAUCACACUCCAUCUUGUUUGCUCUUGCAAAAAUAGUAGUAUGCUUUGCAAAAGUAACAUUCU